AGCAGCCGCGGUAAUUCCAGCUCCAAUAGCGUAUAUUAAAGUUGUUGCAGUUAAAAAGCUCGUAGUUGAAUUUCGGGAUCGAAUUGUUGGUCGUGCUUCGGUACGCACUGGCAUUAUUGGUUCCUACCUUCUGAAGAACCGCGAUGUCAUUAAUUUGGUGUCGUGGGGAAUCAGGACUGUUACUUUGAAAAAAUUAGAGUGUUUAAAGCAGGCUCACGCUUGAAUACAUUAGCAUGGAAUAAUGAAAUAGGACGUUUGAUUCUAUUUUGUUGGUUUCUAGGAUCGACGUAAUGAUUAAUAGGGAUAGUUGGGGGCAUUAGUAUUCAAUUGUCAGAGGUGAAAUUCUUGGAUUUAUUGAAGACUAACUACUGCGAAAGCAUUUGCCAAGGAUGUUUUCAUUAAUCAAGAACGAAAGUUAGGGGAUCGAAGACGAUCAGAUACCGUCGUAGUCUUAACCAUAAACUAUGCCGACUAGGGAUCGGAUGA
rnacentral:rRNA from 1 species